rnacentral:rRNA from 1 species
GACGAACCGUGCGAACGUUGUUCGGAAUCACUGGGCUUAAAGGGAGCGUAGGCGGGCUAUCAAGUCUGGGGUGAAAUCCCACGGCUCAACCGUGGAACUGCCUUAGAUACUGACGGCCUCGAGGGAGAUAGGGGCAUGCGGAACUGUAGGUGGAGCGGUGAAAUGCGUUGAUAUCUACAGGAACUCCGGUGGCGAAAGCGGCGUGCUGGAUCUCUUCUGACGCUGAGGCUCGAAAGCUAGGGGAGCAAACGGG